rnacentral:tRNA from 1 species
GCCGGCGUGUCGGAAUGGCAGACGAUGCGGAUUCAAAAUCCGUUGGUGGAAACGCCGUGUGGGUUCGAGUCCCACCGCCGGCACCA